AAAAACCUUUGUUAAGAUUUUUCAUCUUGUCCUGAAAACCUGUAUUAAGCUACCUUGUUGUGGCAAUGUAACCACAUUAUCAUGCAGCUAACACAGAUAGCUUAGGUCUGCAGUCCUGACUUUGUAGUCCCAGCUGAUCUCUCUGUUGACUUCAAUAUAUCUGGCUAGAUCUGUAUUGUAUUUUAAAACUACUCUUGACACUGGGCUUACAGCCAGAUUUGCUUGCUAUCUGUACUUAAUGCCUGAGAUAGUGUCCCUUGCACUGGCUCUGUAGCAAUUCUGUUGAUACUGCUGGGGUACGUACUGCAGGUACAUACUUUGCACUGCUGAGUUGUGCCAGCUGCAGAGUGGAUUGCCUCAGCUCUCCGUACUUGGCACAGCCACUUCUGUUUGUCUCAUCUGCAGGAGCAUUUUCUUAACACUGCACAAAAUCCUUUCUAAGAGAUAUCUAUAUUUCUGCUGCAGUUUCAUGCAAUGGCAGUCUGUGUAUGAAGUGGUAGAGUCUUUGGGCAUUCUGGAUGUCAAACUGACCCUGAGAUCAGACAACCCAAACAUUGCUCGUGUGUUGCAAAGCCCUCUGAGCCAUCUGUUUCAGGAUCCUAGAAAAAACAAGGCAUGUGAAUGAUUUGCUGUGUACAAGAGGGCUAUUCCACCAGGUAUGGGAAUGCUGGUGUGAGUGUGAGGUACAGUUCAGAUGCUUCAUCUCUUGAAAAACUGUAUCUACCUGACUUGGGCUUUUACAACUGAGCAUGGCAUCAUCUGAUACAGAAUAUCCCCUUGGUUAGUUUGGGCCCUAUGUCCUAUCUACAUCUGCCCCUGAUUUCUUGCCCACCCCAGCACACUCGCUGCAGGGAGAAAACCUUGAUAAUGUGCAAGU